rnacentral:rRNA from 1 species
UGGGGAAUAUUGCACAAUGGGCGCAAGCCUGAUGCAGCCAUGCCGCGUGUGUGACGAAGGCCUUCGGGUUGUAAAGCACUUUCAGCGGGGAGGAAGGCGUUAAGGUUAAUAACCUUGGCGAUUGACGUUACCCGCAGAAGAAGCACCGGCUAACUCCGUGCCAGCAGCCGCGGUAAUACGGAGGGUGCAAGCGUUAAUCGGAAUUACUGGGCGUAAAGCGCACGCAGGCGGUCUGUCAAGUCGGAUGUGAAAUCCCCGGGCUCAACCUGGGAACUGCAUUCGAAACUGGCAGGCUAGAGUCUUGUAGAGGGGGGUAGAAUUCCAGGUGUAGCGGUGAAAUGCGUAGAGAUCUGGAGGAAUACCGGUGGCGAAGGCGGCCCCCUGGACAAAGACUGACGCUCAGGUGCGAAAGCGUGGGGAGCAAACAGG